AAGGCGCAGACGGGAGCCGCGUCUCCCCAAAGACCCGGCUGAACAUCCUCUGGUUUUCUUCCCUUCCGACCUGUGCUUGGGUUUCUUUGCGCCUUCUUUCCCCAGUCCCUGCUAGAAAGUCAGAGACUUUCUUCUCCUCUACUCUGCCUCUUUUUUCUGGUUUCCUCCAUGCCUCCUUGGAAGCCAAUAAUUGUCCAGGGAAUGCUGUAUGAAAGGUAGCAGGAUACGAGUCCAGUGGCUCCGUAGAGCCUGGCAAGAUUUUCAGGGUGCAAGCUUUGGAGAGUCACAGCUCCCUUCUUCAAAAUGUAUGGAAGGCCAAAAACUGAAAGAUCCUUGAGGAGUCUGAUGGUUUCAAUGAGACCAGCUCCAUGAGCCACACCAAUGACUUGGGCAGAGGAAAGCCAUAACCAGGCACUUCUCUGCAGCACAAGAGAACCAGAAGAGCAUGCACACCUGGCCAGGGGAAACUGUUCAGAUGCUGGGAAAGGAUUAUACUGAAUCAGGUGGAGAAAGAGAAUCUCAGAUAAGGAUGCAGGCCCUGUGCAUUGAUGGCUUUGUACAGAAAAUAAGAUGUAUUUCCUCUAGAGCCCCGUGGCGCAGAGUGGUAAGCUGUACUGCAGUCCAAGCUCUGCUUACAACCUGAGUUCAAUCCCAGCAGAAGCUGGGUUCAGGUAGCCGGCUCAGGGUUGACUCAGCCUUCCAUCCUUCCGAGGUCGUUAAAAUGAGCACCCAGUUUCCUGGGGGUAAAGUGUAGAUGACUGGGGAAGACAAAUAGCAAACCACCCUGUAAAAAACCUGCCAAGUAAAUGUCGUGAUGUGACAUCCCCCUAUGGGUCAGUAAUGACUCGGUGCUUGCAUAGGGGACUACCUUUACCUUACCUCUAGAGCAGGGGAAUUUUAUGAUGCAUUUUAAAAUGUGAAUUGUGCCACACAGUUUGUCCAGUAAUAACUACUACUGUUACUUGUGAUUUACUGAAAAUUUUGCACAAAUAUUAGUGGAAGGCGCUCUUCUCUCCUUAGUUUUCCUCCUUCCCCUCACUGUUUGGUGACAGCCCUGCAGUAGUCGCAACUACUGUUCAUCCUGUACCUCCCUCUGUAUUGCUAAGGCAGUGAAGUUUAGACUACCAGGCAUAGUGUGACCUCUUCUGACACGCUAUCCUCUUUGCAAGGCGCCCUGCAAGUGAGGAUUCCUGUGGAUGUCCAGGUGAUGUUGGGCUUUUUUAAAAAAAAAAAUGCUCUGCCCUGAUCUCUUGUGGCCUUUUGUUAGCUGAAUGAUCUGUUAUACUUGCUGCUGUUUUGUUUUUGUUUUCCCUGUACAAACAGAUUACCUAAUUCUGUUAAAUAAAAGUGAUAAUUAAAUAAACAUUAUUAUUAAAUUGCGAA